GGUUCCAUAGUGUAGCGGUUAGCACGUCUGCUUUACACGCAGAAGGCCCUGGGUUCAUGCCCCAGUGGAGCCA
rnacentral:tRNA from 1 species